GACCUGGUGGUGAAAUGUAUCACACCUGCAAACUAUAUUCUUUGAUUCUUGUGAAAGCAGGAGUCCCCGGUUCAAUUCCGGGCUAGGUCA